UUUAGAGUUUGAAUCAUGGCUCAGAUUGAACGCUGGCGGCAGGCCUAACACAUGCAAGUCGAGCGGAUGACGGGAGCUUGCUCCUUGAUUCAGCGGCGGACGGGUGAGUAAUGCCUAGGAAUCUGCCUGGUAGUGGGGGACAACGUUUCGAAAGGAACGCUAAUACCGCAUACGUCCUACGGGAGAAAGCAGGGGACCUUCGGGCCUUGCGCUAUCAGAUGAGCCUAGGUCGGAUUAGCUAGUUGGUGGGGUAAUGGCUCACCAAGGCGACGAUCCGUAACUGGUCUGAGAGGAUGAUCAGUCACACUGGAACUGAGACACGGUCCAGACUCCUACGGGAGGCAGCAGUGGGGAAUAUUGGACAAUGGGCGAAAGCCUGAUCCAGCCAUGCCGCGUGUGUGAAGAAGGUCUUCGGAUUGUAAAGCACUUUAAGUUGGGAGGAAGGGCAGUAAGYUAAUACCUUGCUGUUUUGACGUUACCGACAGAAUAAGCACCGGCUAACUCUGUGCCAGCAGCCGCGGUAAUACAGAGGGUGCAAGCGUUAAUCGGAAUUACUGGGCGUAAAGCGCGCGUAGGUGGUUUGUUAAGUUGGAUGUGAAAGCCCCGGGCUCAACCUGGGAACUGCAUCCAAAACUGGCAAGCUAGAGUACGGUAGAGGGUGGUGGAAUUUCCUGUGUAGCGGUGAAAUGCGUAGAUAUAGGAAGGAACACCAGUGGCGAAGGCGACCACCUGGACUGAUACUGACACUGAGUUCGAAAGA
rnacentral:rRNA from 1 species